GCCAUGUUGGGAGCUCGGGAGCGGUGCUGGAGAGCGGGCUGAGGUUUCUGGGCGCGUGGAGCAGAGCGGUGGUGCGGUGGGGACGGGGAGAAGGAGGACCGAGGAGUCGAGAGCCGCGCGCACCGGCCUGGGACUGGAGCGAGGUUUCACUGGGGGCAGGCAGCGCGGUACGACCUAAGGUGGCUGCCUUCUCCGGUCGGAGUGAGCCCCGGCCGCCCGGCCCCGCAGGGCUUGCGUAGGGCCCCACGCCUCUUGCUCUGCUCUAGCCGAGGGAAUCCUGUCCGCCGAGGGCCCCUUAGACCCGCCAGCCGGACUGUCUGGGCGAUCCUGAACUUCACUGUGGAAAGAUGAGAAAUUGCACUUCCUCCUCAGGGUCUCUGAAGGGUUAAAAAUGCUAUAUAUGUACUUUGUAUUUUUUAAUUCUCACUUCCUUUUGCAUCUUAUUCUUAAAAUUAAUUGGUUUAAAGCUGGAGAUGUAAUUCGGUGGAACAUUCACCUAGCAUACUCAAGACCCUGGGUUGGAUCCCCAGAACUGGUUCUUUCUGAACAGUGAAGGUAUGAAUAACACCUCUGUUAGGAGUUAAUACCAUUACAGCUCAUAGUAGAUCCUUCUGUCAAAGAAAGGGAAUCAUGUUCAUUUUAUAGGACCUUUUAUUUAAUUUUUUUUUUUUUUUUUUUUUUUUUUUUGAGACAGGGUCUCCCUGUAGUGGGGCUGUCCUGGAACUCUAUGUAGACCAGGCUGGCCUUGAACUCACAGAGAUCCACCUGCCUCUGCUUCCCGAGGGCUGGGAUUAAAGGCAUGUGCCACCUUGCCUAGCUACAGAACUUUUAUCUAAGCAAAAUCUAAGUCUGAGUUAUUGUAGAAGAUUAUUGAGAGAAAAAUAAAGACAACUUUUACAGGAAAAAAAUUCCAUAUUCCUCUUUAGAAACUUAAGGCCAGAAAAAGGAAAAGAUUUUACAAAAAAUAUGUAUCGUUCAAGUUUCCCCUUUGAUUGUUUCUCACAGUCUAGUUUCCUUAAGUGGACAUGGAUGAACAUACCAUUUGAAUUUAGCAACUCUUAGCUUCUUUUGGAACUAUCCUUAAUUCAUUUUGAACAGUAAGAAAAUGAAUUCUUCAUGUUUUCAGCAUUUUUUGAGUUAAUAAUAUUUAGGAAACAAAAGUCUCCAGAGAGUGCCCUACCUGUUGUGUUUGUAACAGGUUGGCAUAGAUUUUGUGACUGUAUUUCUUGUGGUACAUAAGGUAAAUAGAGUAAACAUCUCAUGGCCAGAAUUUGAGAUCUAAAUGCCCUUAGUUGAUAACUACCAAGAAAAACAAUCCUUAUUUAUCCUACUGUCUUUAUUUCUCAAGUUUUAACAGGUUUGGAUAAAGGGGCAGUAGAAAGCAAGUCAUUGACUAAAGUAUAUGCAGAUUAACUGUAUUUAUAAAUAUAGCCAUUUAGGGAAAUUCACAUAUGCAAAGAUGCUCAGUGUAUGCCGUUAUGUAGAUAUGUAUUCACAGGUCUUCAUUUCAUAGAGAAUCUUUGAGGAUGCUGUCUGCAUGAAUGUGCUGUAAAGGGUGAUCCUCUGAGUUGUAUCUUUUAUAAACAGCUUUAUUGAGGUGAAAUUCAUACACACAGUUCACCCAUUUCAAGUCUGCAGUCCAGAGGGUUUCAGUUUGUUCAGUUUCCCAACCAUCAACACAAAUAAACAAAAUAGACAAAACAACCUUGUAAGUAUGCAAAAGUAAUCGUGGAAGGAUUUUGGUUUUGCUCUAAGGUGGUAAUAAGCAAAGUUUACUAUUACAGGUAAUAGUGACAUAGAGUAUGUCCAUUACAGUGUCCAUUACAGUUGGGACACUGAACAAUUACAUGAUAUAACACUUUGUCAACAGUUGAGAAGUUAUUAAGUGUGUUGUGCUAUUUAUUUCUCUUUCCACUUGACUAACGGAUAGUUUGCCUUUCUUGAUUUCAGUGCCACGAGACUACUCCAUUUUCGGUGUCCUGUUUUGUGUGUUUUUCUAAUAAGGUGCUGCUUCUGUUUCUUGCUGCUUUUGAGACAGUUUGUAAACAGUUUUCCUUGCUUUUCAGUUGGAUUGUUUCACCAUGAAGGCUUGCUGAAUGUUCUCCUUUUCCAGAUAAAUUCUGAAUUUACAUAAUAAUAAAUCACCAAAUUUCAGGGUGUUGAAGAAUGAAUGAAUAAAUGAGAAUAGAGAGAAGUAGGUCUUAAGUAUAGAUAGAGGUUUGAAUCUGGAAAAACAGAACACAAACAAACAAUAACAACAACAAAAAAAAAAAAAACAAGAAAUAAUGGAUUAGGGAGGACAGGAUUAAAAGUGUUCAUUAAGAUGGUAGACCAAAACCUAAUUAAGCCAUUACUUAGAAGCCAAAGUUACAUUCUACCUCAGGGCACAGUGAUCAGUUCUUAAGGCAGUCAGGACACUUCAGCUCCCACUCUGCUAGGAAAUCCAGCCAAGACUGGGAGGAGGAGUACAGAAAUUCUUUGGCAUUAUCUGUUAUGCAUGGUACUCAGUGAUUUGGGGGUGGGACCUGACAGCACAAACCUAUGAAGGUAGAACCAGGGAAAUUACAAGUUAGAGCCUAGUUUGAGCUAUAUAGGAAAUUCUCAGCCAGCUUGAGUUACAUAGUGAAACCCUAUCCCACAAAAAUGAUUUUAAUUUGAUUUUGUCUUGUCAUAGUUUCCAUUUAUCUGAACUUUUUUGCCUACCUAUAUGAUCAAACUUGGACUGUGGGCAUUUUUUUGUGAUUCUACUAAAAGAAAAAAAAAAAGUAUAGCACCUGUUGAGUGAUGAAUUUUAUUCUAAAAGGCGAUAUUUGCUUUUCACACGUAUAGCAUUAAUAUACCCAAACCCAACUGGCAUCCUUACAACCACUAUUAGAGAAAGCAGUUGGUGUUCAGUGAAUGGGACUUCUCCCUGCUCAGUGACAUUUAUCAAUGUCUGUUACUGACAGGAGAAAGCUAGGAUAAUUGAAUUCAUUAAAUUACUUAUGUGAGAAAUAUGUAAUUGUGCAAAUACAGAAAGAUGCACAAGGAGAAAAGCAACUGACAGGCAUCACAGCCCUCCACAAACAGAAUAAAUCCAAUUCUAACAGUUACAAAUUAAAUUUUACAUUGCCUGAAGUCAUUCUUAUCCCAUUACUUAACUGCUUUCUCUAUAGAGAUUGAACUAGAAAGAAAAAUGAAGUCAGUAAAGAAAGGAGCAGCCAAGAUAGUGAAGGUUCCAUUUGAUGAAGAAAAAGUACCAGGGAAGUUAUUCAUUACUAAGGCUUGACACUAAUCAAAUGUAGGCCCGUGUGGUCUCAUGAGAUACAUCAAGAGCUUUAACCUGGGGUUUCUAAGGAAAGACAGUACAGCUGCAAGUUGAAUUGCUGUGUAGUAAGGUAGCAUAUUUUUUGGACUACACAUCCAGAGUGACUCCCCAAAUCUCAAAAUUUGAUGUUCAGGCUACUACCUGUUCCUGGCAGUGGUAAGACUGAAUUCAGCAGUCUUGUAAUACACAACUGUUUGGAGUAAGGGAGAACUGUUAAUAAAUGUAAGUAUAGGGUUUGGACACCUAGAUUCAGAGAGCUGCUUGGCAUCCCUUUUUGAGCUAAUAGUGGUGACUGAUUGUUAAUACCUAUGGUCUGGAGUAAACUUCAUGUAGGUUGUUUGGAACUUAAGUAGAAAUGAUCUGUUGAUGGGCUGUCAUAGUUGAGGUAACAAUUUUUAGAGGACACUGGUGCUAUGAUAGAAUUGGCUUAAAAGGCAUUGGACAGUUGACAAAUGACUGGGAAGUAAUUCCUCUGAUAACACUGAUAGAAAUCUUAAAGUAUUUGUGUACUUGUUAAGGUCAGACUACAACUCUUGCCAUACUGCCUAUUUGUGAAAUUAUUUCUGCUAUUAUACAUUAUGAUGGACAGGUCCACAUAAGAUCAUGUAAUCAAGGGAAAGUUGGUUUUGGCAUUUAGUAUGAACUUCAGCAAAAGGAGGAUGUGUUUGGGUCUCAGUACUACAUGGCUUUGACAUUUUGAUUCUCAGGCUUUUGAUCUGGGAAUCUACAUUUGUUGUUUUUAUUCCUGCAGUGCUGCACUUUAAAGCUGCAGCUUCGUGCAUGCUAGUCACUCUACUACUGCGGUAUGUCCCCAGUUCUGUUUAUUUACGGGGUUUUGUUCUUGUUGCUGCUGUUUUAAGGCAAGGUCACCUUACUGUCUAGUCUAGAAAUCAUGAUCCUCCUGCCUCAGCAUCCAUCGUGCUGGAAUUAAAUAGGCUGACUUGGGAAUCUGCAUUUUAAAACAUACUAAGCAAGUAAGUCUUUUGCCUAACUCAAGCCCUAAUUUUACUUAAAAGGACCAAGAUGAAUAGUUUGCCAAAGUCAAACCUCUGAUACCUUUUGUGUAAUCCUGAUUCACUUGAGUGAAGACCUUCCCCACACCUGUGUUGCACCUAGGGCCUCAAGAGUGCAGAUGAGUGCUCUAUGACUGAGGUAUGCUCAGCCCUACUUGUAUUUUGAGUCAAGGUCUUAACCAAAUUGCCUGGACUGGCUAAACUCAGUCUGAAGUAGCUGGAUUUGCAGUCCUGGCUCCUAAUUUACUCAUUGCUAUUAUAUUCUAAUACCUGUUACCCUUGCUGCAAUUCGAAGACACAUACCAAAUGAUUUGAUGUUUCCGUGAACAUAGAUAUUCAGUGAAAAAUAUAGUCCAAUCACAUAAGCAAGUAUUGUUUAGAUUAAAAAGGUAUAAUUGGGCUGGAGAGAUGGCUCAGCAGCUAAGAGCACUGACUGCUCUUACAGAGGACCUGGAUUCAGUUCCCAGCACCCAAGUGGCAGCUAAAAACCAUCUGUAACUCCACUUCUAGCCUCCACAGGCAAUGCAUAACACAGGUGUACUUACAUACAUACAGACAGAACACUCAUACACAUAAACAGAUCAAAAGGCCAGGUAGUACCUCAACCACAGUGUCAGGUAUUCAUGGUCUUUUAGGUGUAUGAGUGCUUUGCCUACAUGUAUGCACCAUGUGUGUACAGUGCCCACAGAGGCCAGAAGAGGGUUUUGGAUUCCUUGGAACUGGAGUUAGCUACAGUGUGGGUGCUGAGAACAGGAUCUGGGUCCUCUUUAAGAGCAACCAGUGCUCUUAGCCACUGAGCCAUCUCUCCAGCCCCUAUUCAUGAUCUUUCAAACUACCUACAAUGUUAUAUGAAAAUAUGCCUUCAAUUGUGACAAUCACUAUUACUACGAAUACUGUGAUUUGCUUAUAUUCAGAUUGUAUUAGAAGUUCCUAAAAAUUGAGUUAUAACUCAACUUUUUCCAAGUUCAUUCAACUACUGUCUAUUUAAAACCUGAUUUAUACCCUGAUUUAAAACCUUGGUUAAAAGGCUGAAGAGAUAGCUCGAGCUCCUCUUCCAAAGGGUCCAGGUUUAGUUCCCAGCACCCAUAUGGUAGCUAAGAACCAUCUGUAACUCCAGUUUUGGGGAUCUGACACCCUCUUCUGGCAUUGCAUGCACAAGCAAAACACUUCUACACAAAAAUCCAAAAAAAGUUAAAGCUUUGGUUAAAGUAAUUUUUGAGGGCCAAGCUGGUGGUUCCAGCCUUUAAUCCCAGCACUUGGGAGGCAGAGGUAGGCAGAUCUCUAGGUUUGAGGCCAGCCUGGUCUACAUAGAAAGUUUCAGGCCACACACCCUGUCUCCAAAAAAAAUCUUGAUUUCAUACAUGUAAACAGUGUAUUUUUAAUGCUGUAGCCAGGUGAGUAGUACCUAGCACUUGGGGAGCUCAGGAAGUAAGAUCCAGCCUGGGCUACAUAAACCAUAUCUCAAAAAAAUUAUCUCAGCACUGGAAACUUGUGCCUUCUAUAAAAUUCACAGUGCUUAUAUUCAGAAGCUUCAUUAGUUGCUUUGUAGCUCCACUGCUGGUGUCUGUGGGUUUAGCAUUCAAGCUUCACUGCAUCUACUGCGCUUGAUACAUGGUUAAAGCUUAAUAAAAGAACAAGUGAAUGACAGCAAUGUUAAGAGUGAACAACAUCAUGAAAACAAUAUAACAUUAAAUGCUGUUUUCCCAAUAAGUGAACACUGAAAGUGUUCUAAUCUACGAAUAUCAUAGGAUCCUAAACUGUUAUCUCAACAGAAAGCAAAUACUGCCCUAGAUUUAGUUUUUUUCAUUACUUGCUACAGGAAUUCCCACAGUUUUGAAUUUAAAACACAAAUAGUUUAGCAUGUAAAAAUGCUUGACAUAGAAGCCUGACUUGAGUUUAAUCCUUGAACCCAUAGUUGGAGAAAAACAACUUCCAAAAGUUGUCAUCUGACCUGCUAUGUGUACUCCUGCAUCACACACAGUAAACAUGUUCAAGUCUGCCUGGCAUUAUCUAUUAAGAAAGAAUGAGAAUUUGAGGUUGGCUCAAAUAUAUAUAAUAUACUGUUCAAGUCCUGAUAGCCAAUAUCUUUUAAGGGAAACAAAAUUACAUUCUUCUGGUAUUUUUUGAGACUUAAAGUCUCUGGUUCCAGCUGGCUUGGAACUCACUAUGUAGACCAGACUAGCCUUGAUCUCACAGAGGUUCUGUGCUCUGGAAGUCUGCAUCUGCUUCCCAAGUGGUGGAAUUAAAAGGGUGCAUCAUCAUUCCUUGCUUCAGAAAAUUACAUCCUAAACCUAAUUAUUUCAGUUUUCUAUUUGUACAUUUCCCAAACAGGCACAGCAUUGUCAAAUUACUCUGCUGACAAAAGUCUUGCUAUGCAUGGUGGCAUAAACAUAAAUCCCAGCGCUCGGGAGGCUGACAUAGGAUGAUGUUUCAAAGCCAACCUGUACUGAGACCCUGUCUCAGAAACCUUUAAAAGCUGUUUAAUUUUAAAUAGAUAUUUUGAAGACUUCGGUCAUAAAAUACAAUUUCUGCUGCAAUAAUUUUCUCUAUUUUGCUUUCACAGUGUAGUCCUGCAUCUCUUCAACUCUACCAUCCAAGACCAAGAUUUUGAACUACAAUUUUCAGGUUUUAAUCUCUCCAUACCCACAAUAUGUUUUCAUGUUGCUUGUUUAGAAGGAGAGAAAGUAAUUCAUACAAAAACAUUCUUCGGACAGAGAAAAUGCUAAUAAAAGUGAAGAAUGAUUGCCAG